rnacentral:lncRNA from 1 species
UGUAAAUGAAAGUGCUCUCAAUGUUUGUUCACAGGUUUGUGUGUGUCCAUAUGUGAAGACACAGGUGUGGGAUUCCCUCAAGGGAGGAAUUGCUGGGUCAUAUGAUAUUCUGAUUUUCCAGUACGUUUUCAGAUCGAAAAUUAUUGGAAGAAACUGACAACCUAACGUAAGUUAACCAAACAGCAAAGAGUUGGAUAACUGUUUGGGCCUUUUUAUUGCUGAGACU